ACUUUUGGAGCCUAGCAACAUCACCAUUGUGACUGUCAUUGUACCAGGCAGGGUCUCAGCGGGAAGCAGAUGGCACCAGCUAGGGGUUCCAGAGAAGGCAGUCUAAUGAAGAGACCAUUCAUAUACAUACAGACUUGUGAGCAGAGCUGAGGGAGCCAGCACAGGAUGAUGUAGGAUCCAGGGAUCCCCACACCAGUGGGGAGGCCUUACCACCUGGAGCACCAAGGGAAGCCACCCAGACGCUCAGCACAUACAACAGUCGGUCAAAGAAGCCCCACGGAACAACCCACAUCGUAGAUGUCACACAAAAGGCCUAGUCGGCCAUCAACCUCCAUCUGUCUUCGAAUAAUGUGAUUGUGACACAGUUUCUUCUGUGGUUCCAAGGACCUUGAGGCCAUCUCUGUCCCGGGGGAGGCCCAUGUGCCCAACUCCCAUCCUCAACCACCCCUUCUGAGAGCUCUGGUGAGGUCUUGGGAAUCCAGUCAUGGAUAUCCCUGGUCCCCAGUAGGACUGUGGUUUGCUGAAGAACAGAAGAUGGCACAACAGAGUCCUUGGCAGCCUUCUCUCUGAGGUUCUUCAUUUUUCGGUCAAGAGUCAGAAGGUGGUUGGAAUCAUCUUAAAGACCUCCUCACUCUCUCAUGUCUGGUGAUUGAUGCAGACUAUUGGCUGAGACCUUAGCUGGAGCUGUCUGUUGGGACACCUGUACGUGACCUCUCCAUGUGGCCUGGGUUUCCUCACAACAUUGCGGCUGGGUUCCAAGAGCAAGCAUCCCAAGAAACAGAGAAAGGCAGAGGGAGAUCCCAAACCCAGACAUCUGGAGGAGAUCACACGGAGAUGGGGGCAGAGACUGAAGUGACGUGGCCACCAGCCAAGGAACACCUGGAACCUCCAGAAGGUGAAAGUGUCAAGGGAAGAUCCCCAUGUAAAGCUUUUGUACAGAACACGGCCCUUGCAUCUCCUUGGUUUUAGACUCUGGACUCCACAACUGGGAAAGAAUAAAUUCCUGUCAUUUUAAUCCA